rnacentral:sRNA from 2 species
AUGUAACAAUCGCUGAGUUUCCGUCAAGGGAAACGGGGGAACCAAUCGAUAAGCGGCAUUGCAACGGUGUGAGAGCCGGCGCGGCAUGCUUAUCCGGGGUGAAUCCGGGAAAAGGCUGCGCGCGGCCGGACCCGGUAGGGCGACUCUCACCGUCCGAAUCCGUCAGCUAACCUCGUAAGCGAUGAAAAUGCACUG